AAUGAAUGAUGACAAGAUGUUUCGGUCCCAUAUGAUAUGAUUAUUCCGUUAUAUUUAUUUCUGAUACU